GGGAGAUACGACGAGCUUCACCUUCGGGCUGUUCAGGAGGAGGCAGUGGCAUAUAUGAGGGCCUGCGAGUCCCCGGCUUCGGCAUAGUGUUCCGAACGGCAACGUGUUCAGCACGUUCCUCAUCUGCAAGCUCAUCCUCGAAGUCAGAGCCAUCAGACGAGGAGCGGGAAUGUCGAGGAGGACGCCGGGCGAGCCGUUUGAAAGGACGGCGUGGUAUAUCGG
rnacentral:lncRNA from 1 species